rnacentral:lncRNA from 1 species
AUCGCGCCACUGCACUCCAGUCUGGGUGACAGAGCAAGACUCCGUCUCCAAAAAAAAAUUAAAUUAAAAUGUCGGUUUCCUAAGGAGUUCAACUGGAACACCACCAUGCUUGUUCAUGUAGUUAAAAGUCUGCAAGUGCUUGGUACAUACACAGAUGGUAUUUAUUUGCUGUUUGUCUUAAAUUGCAUUCUUAUGCAUCAUAGAGACUGCGAUAAGGAGAAGAAAAAAUAUUUUCUACAGGACCAUCCAAACAUGACAAGAGCAAAAAUCACCCCCUGCAGAACCUAGGAGCUACGUGCAGAACUUUACAGAGUUGAGGCAGCGCCGUAGCUGAGGCCUGACUGCUAACCAGGGAGUGGAGCUCUGAGUGCACUCAAGGAACGCAAGGAAGCCAGGCAGGGAGGAAGGGGCCGGCGGAGUCUAACUUCAGCUGCCAUCUUUUUUGGUGGCACAUCUCGUGGUCACAGGUUGUAGGCUGUGUUUCUGGAAGGUUCAGGUACAGCGCAAGAUUCCACUUGUCUACUUGGCUAUCUCUGUGCCUGAGGUGCCAUGAGGCCAACGGACGUCACUCAAAUUCAUGUCCAGCCAAACUCCCACAGCAAAGAAUCCCGAACCGAGGAUGAAGUUCCUCUAGAAAGCAUUCCUAUCUGUGGCAAAGCUGCAGACACCCCGAAACCCAUCUCCCACCUCGUCUGGAAUUUCAGGAGCUUCGUUUGCUGAGCCAGUGCACUCAUGGCAACCCUGCAGGAAGCCAUGUGGCACCUCUGGGCUUUGCACCGUGUGUGUUCUCUUCUCUAAACUGCUGUUUUUGCUUAGCAAAGAGCCUCGCCUGCCACUGAUGAUGGCAGUGUGGGGUCAUUUUGAAUGGCUGCCUGACACUGCAUGGCACAUUCACGUACACAGUCCUGUGGGAUCGUGACAUAAUAAGAAAUAGAUAUUUCAUCUCUGCCCCUGGUUCCUGACACAGAGCUCCUAAAACCAUUGAAAUUUCCUGGAUAAUAGGAGCUUCUUCUGUUCCAAUGGGGUGACUCUUGGUGGGCUCCUGGAUGGGGGCUGGUCACUAGCGAGACCACACCAUGAUGAGAAACCUGGAGCUUCAGCCCUACCCCCACCUCUGAGCAGGGGAGACGGGCUAGCUAGAGGCGCGGUUCCUAAUGCGCCAUAUGCCUACAUGAAGACGUCUCCGUAAAAGUCCCUCAGCAGUGGGGGUUUGGAGAGCUCCCAGCUAUUAUGAGAAAUACCACUGCGAUGAGUCUUCACAUACAAGUGUGUAUGUGGACACAUAUUUUCAUUUCUUGGGGAUAUGCCUCAGAGUGGACUUGCUGGGACCUAUGGACGCUCUGUGUUCAGCAUUUUGAAGCAUUGCCCGACCGUUUUCUAAAGCAGGUGCACCAUUUGACGGUCCCACCAGCAGCAUGAGAGAGUUCCAGUGUCUCCACAUCCUCGUCAACACUCACUACCUGACUUUUUGGGUCUAGCUCUCCAGGCCAGGAAGCCGAACCAAAUCCACCUCCCUCAGGUGUGCCCGCGGGACCUGUGUGUGUGCAAGUUUCUAUCUUCCAGAAGGUUCCAGUGUCUGCCAUGGCUCUUGGCCUGCCAGGAAGUAUCCUUCUUACUACUUGUGAGGCUGAGGCUUUGUGUGCCAGAGUACAGGUGCCCGGCCAGUAUGGGUCUGAGGGUUGUGUGGGCAUUGGUUCAGCACACAAGCCACAACCCUUGUUCCUUAAAGGUGGGCGUGUUGUGGAAGCACAGGAAAGUUAUUCUCAAAUAUGACACCCAUGUAAGGCCUGGGCUCCACUAUUAAUUUGUCUGAUUAUAUCCUGGUGACAAGGAGGACAAAUUUCUACUGCAACAAUGCAAAUUACUACGUUUUUAUUAAAAGUAAAUGUCAGUAAAACUAUUUUUCCUGAAUUCUGAAGUGAGAAAAACACCAUUUAAAGAACGUUUUAAUGUUUGUGAAAGGAUAGUCUCCUAAAGUAGAUUGUUGCAGAUACCGGGUAAAAAUAAAAAUUAAAUAAAUUAAAGGUGAGAUAGAUCAAAGAAGAAGGGUUUUGUCUUAUUCCUGCCAGAAACAGAAUAUCAGAAACAACAUGAGCAUCCUCCUCCUUGCCUUUUCUUGGGCUGUGCUUUCAGCCUGCAGAUAUAACCAUUCUGGAGAGCAGUGAUGCCCCCAGAACCGCAUUUUUGGCUGGUGCAAAAUGGGGGGCAGUGGUUGUGUCUGGGGCCAAGUUUCUGUCCUGUAUAGCCUAGAGAUGGUUAUGUAGCGGGGGACUGAGCUACUAAGUGAAGGCAUAGAUAGUUAUGUAGAAACAGAGGAGGGUAGAAUCAACUCCAUGCUAGAUUGUAACUGGAGGUACAGGUAUCAGUAUGAACUCAAGGUUUGCUAAGAGGUAUCAGAAAAGAUAUGGGUGUGUGUGUGUGUGUGUGUGUGUGUGUGUGUGUGUGUGUGUGUGUGUUUGUACAUACUUAUUUCCUAGCUCUGUCUGCUGAGUGUAAAUGGAAUCAUAUUCUGUAAUCUUUUGAGAUUUCUUUCUUCCAUUUAAAAUUAUGUGUUUGAGAUUUGGCCGUGUUGGUGGUGGAAUUCAUUCAUUUCUGUUGCUGUGUGCUAUUCCAUUGCGUGGAUACACCUCACUUUGUCCAUUUUACCGUCCUUUGAUAUUUAAGAUUUCUCCCAGUAUUUGCUAUUAAAAACAGCGUUAAAAUAAAAAAAAAAAAACACCAAAAACAGUGUUGCUCUGAACAUUCAUGCACAUGCUUCCUGAUGAACAAG